rnacentral:lncRNA from 1 species
AUGCAGGGUGGGUUAGAAUUUGGUUCAAGACAACUUAUUGGAAGUGGAUUGAAGCUUGAAGCUGAUGUUCGGGUCAUUGAAUCACUUAAAAAGAGGUUGCACGAUUAAAGCUUGAAGCUGAUGUUCGGGUCAUUGAAUCACUUAAAAAAAGGUUGCACAACUUCAAUAUGAACGAGAUGAUGAUGAUGGAGGUGGUGUGACCCGGAGGCGAUAUUAACGAUUUUCCAGCAACCUAGAUUUAACAACAUUGAAGAGUAGAGAUCCCAAUUUCCAAUCUUUUGUAUGACGAUUUUGACCCAAUAGCCGUUGCCACCCCCACACAGCCUUCCUCAUGUUGGAAAAAUGGGGAAUUCAAGAGUGCUAUAAGGUAAUGGAUGAUCAUCAAGCACGGGCACUACUCUGUUGUAUUUUUCUGCAUGCUAGAAUUGUUCAUCUACUUGCAAACAUAUUGAGUUUGGUUUCAUUGGGAUUCGCCUCGAGCAACAAUCUGGUUUAGAUGAUUAAACUACGUGAUUUCUAUGUCGUCUUCCUUACGGUGUGCUGGAGACUUCGGUAAACAAAAACGAGAAAGGUCUUUCAGAACAGGAACGUUUUGGUUGUCAACU